UAGUUAUGGACGGUGCGUCCUCUUUGGU
rnacentral:piRNA from 1 species